AAUUGCAUUAUAGUAGAACCAAGAGACUGCAACUGAAAUCAGGACCCCAUUCCAGAAAUAACUGCAGAAAACACCCAGUAACAGACAGCCUCCCCCCACAGAAUGUUUACAAUCUAAUUAGACAAUAUAGGCAAAGAGGGACAACAUACAAGCAGAAGAUUGGGAACACUGGCUUGGUCUACACUACAAACUUAUGUCUACGUAACUACAUCACUAAGGGGUGUGGAAAAUCCUUUACAAAUCCAUUUUUCUGUGUAAAGGGACCCAGAUCACUGCACCUGUUGAUUGUUAAAUCAGGAUCAUCUUUCCUCAGUUGGGACUGUGACAGAGUGACAAUAUCCUGUAACAUCCUGGACAAAUGUUAUGGGAUUAAGUGAAUGCAGAGAACUAUGCAGCCUGGAAAUACAGUAAAAUCUCAGAGUUACGAACACCAGAGUUACAAACUGAUCAGUCAAUCGCACACCUCUUUUGGAACCAGAAGCACGGAAUCAGGCAGCAGCAGAGACAAAAAAAGAAAAG